GGAAAGGCCCCUUCGGGGGUACUCGAGUGGCGAACGGGUGAGUAACACGUGGGCAAUCUGCCCUGCACUUCGGGAUAAGCCUGGGAAACUGGGUCUAAUACCGGAUAGGACCUUUAGGCGCAUGUCUUUAGGUGGAAAGCUUUUGCGGUGUGGGAUGGGCCCGCGGCCUAUCAGCUUGUUGGUGGGGUGAUGGCCUACCAAGGCGACGACGGGUAGCCGGCCUGAGAGGGUGUCCGGCCACACUGGGACUGAGAUACGGCCCAGACUCCUACGGGAGGCAGCAGUGGGGAAUAUUGCACAAUGGGCGCAAGCCUGAUGCAGCGACGCCGCGUGGGGGACGACGGCCUUCGGGUUGUAAACCUCUUUCACCAUCGACGAAGGUCCGGGUUUUCUCGGAUUGACGGUAGGUGGAGAAGAAGCACCGGCCAACUACGUGCCAGCAGCCGCGGUAAUACGUAGGGUGCGAGCGUUGUCCGGAAUUACUGGGCGUAAAGAGCUCGUAGGUGGUUUGUCGCGUUGUUCGUGAAAUCUCACGGCUUAACUGUGAGCGUGCGGGCGAUACGGGCAGACUAGAGUACUGCAGGGGAGACUGGAAUUCCUGGUGUAGCGGUGGAAUGCGCAGAUAUCAGGAGGAACACCGGUGGCGAAGGCGGGUCUCUGGGCAGUAACUGACGCUGAGGAGCGAAAGCGUGGGGAGCGAACAGGAUUAGAUACCCUGGUAGUCCACGCCGUAAACGGUGGGUACUAGGUGUGGGUUUCCUUCCCUUGGGAUCCGUGCCGUAGCUAACGCAUUAAGU
rnacentral:rRNA from 1 species